GUCAAUAACUCAGCCCUAAAGGGACUGAGCUUGUAAGAAAUCAAGACUUACGUGUUUGACUAGCUCAUUGAGACGCAAUUUGGUACGAACUUCCGAAUACUUCUCUAGUUCGGAUUAUCUUCAAGCUAUCUUGUAAUGGCGUUGGUUAAAGCCAAGACAUCUUGAUUGCGUUGAGCGAAGGGACAUUAAACUUUACUCGAAG
rnacentral:sRNA from 1 species